rnacentral:rRNA from 1 species
UACGUAGGGUGCAAGCGUUGUCCGGAAUUAUUGGGCGUAAAGAGCGUGUAGGCGGUUAGGUAGGUCCGUUGUGAAAACUCGAGGCUCAACCUCGAGACGCCGAUGGAAACCAUCUGACUAGAGUCCGGAAGAGGAGAGUGGAAUUCCUGGUGUAGCGGUGAAAUGCGCAGAUAUCAGGAAGAACACCCGUGGCUAAGGCGGCUCUCUAGUACGUGACUGACGCUGAGACGCGAAAGCGUGGGGAGCGAACAGG